rnacentral:tRNA from 1 species
UCCCUGGCAGUCCAGUGGUUAAGACUCUGCAUUUCCACUGCAGGAGGCUCGGGUUCAAUCCCCGACUGGGGAA